rnacentral:lncRNA from 1 species
GGGCAUUUUGUUCUUCCUCUCCUAUUUACGGGCUUUUUCUUCUGCCUCUGCAACUCAGGAUCAGCCAGAUCCCAAGAAGAAGAUUGACCUAGACCCAGAAGCAACCUUCUCCUUCUUCAAAUCCCUAUUGUUGUAAAAUCAUAAUUUCCCUCCUCGGCAUUUUUGGACCACUCACGUUAGGUUCCUCCGGGAGCUUCGUGCUCAUCGAAUUCAGAGGCCAAGAUCGACGGUGUGUUGCGGUCUUUGAUGAAGAGCUUCUUCAGUGGCGGCCUUCGAGAUGAAGAAGAAAAAGCCUAUUUUUGGUGGGAAGAAUCACCGUCAUAGGCGUCUGCGAAAAGGAGAUCUCGGUUGAAAAUCAGAUACACCGGCCAGAUCUGGCCGUCCUGGAACAAGUCGUCAACGGAAAUCGGCGAUCCGUCAGGGAGGGAGGGAGGGAGUGGUCUGGCUCUGCUCCUCCACCGCCUUAUCUUGAUUUCAUUUUAUUUUAUUAUGGAUAGGUCUUGACGGUUGCUGGGUUCUCUGAUGUUGAUGAUUAGGUAGGUGAUUUUAGCAGUUAGUGAUUUGGCUUUGUGCUUGUUUGAGAUUUUCAAUUCUUGAUUUCGUAGCUGUAAUUGUAACCAAUAUGAGGGGUUAAGUUUCAAACAUCCAAAUUUAUGGCUCUUUCAUACUCGUAUUUUUAUAAGAUAUUGUAUCAUAUAGGUUCGUAGUAUUCCUAGGGCAAGAGCCAGACUGAUUCGACCUUGUAUUAGAAAUCCAAGGCAUAUUUGUCCUAGUAUUAGUAACUAUGGUGGAUUUAUUUCCGUUGCGAAAAUCGUAGCUGGAUAUUACAUAAGAUCAAUGACUAGCUAUUAUUUGGUUAACUGAGUUUUAUCUGUUUUUAUGUAUCAUUGUGUGUGUCUGCACCCAAUAUCCCAUUGCUACUUCAUUUGGC